rnacentral:tRNA from 1 species
GUGAACGUAGCUCAAUUGGUUAGAGCUCCGGAUUGUGGUUCCGGCGGUUGGGGGUUCGAGUCCCCUCGCUCACCCCA